UGGGGAAUCUUGCGCAAUGGGCGAAAGCCUGACGCAGCGACGCCGCGUGAGGGAAGAAGGCCUUCGGGUUGUAAACCUCUUUCAGCAGGGACGAAGCCACUCGGGUUAAUAGCCCAGAGGGUGACGGUACCUGCAGAAGAAGCCCCGGCUAACUACGUGCCAGCAGCCGCGGUAAUACGUAGGGGGCAAGCGUUGUCCGGAUUUAUUGGGCGUAAAGAGCGUGUAGGCGGUUGGAUAGGUCUGCUGUGAAAACUCCAGGCUCAACCUGGAGACGUCGGUGGAAACCAUCUAACUAGAGUCCGGAAGAGGAGAGUGGAAUUCCUGGUGUAGCGGUGAAAUGCGCAGAUAUCAGGAAGAACACCCGUGGCGAAGGCGGCUCUCUGGGACGGUACUGACGCUGAGACGCGAAAGCGUGGGGAGCGAACAGGAUUAGAUACCCUGGUAGUCCACGCCGUAAACGAUGGGUGCUAGGUGUGGGGGGUGUCGACUCCCUCUGUGCCGAAGCUAACGCAUUAAGCACCCCGCCUGGGGAGUACGGCCGCAAGGCUAA
rnacentral:rRNA from 1 species